rnacentral:rRNA from 1 species
AUUGAACGCUGGCGGCAGGCCUAACACAUGCAAGUCGAGCGGAUGAAGGGAGCUUGCUCCUGGAUUCAGCGGCGGACGGGUGGGUAAUGCCUAGGAAUCUGCCUGGUAGUGGGGGAUAACGUCCGGAAACGGGCGCUAAUACCGCAUACGUCCUGAGGGAGAAAGUGGGGGAUCUUCGGACCUCACGCUAUCAGAUGAGCCUAGGUCGGAUUAGCUAGUUGGUGGGGUAAAGGCCUACCAAGGCGACGAUCCGUAACUGGUCUGAGAGGAUGAUCAGUCACACUGGAACUGAGACACGGUCCAGACUCCUACGGGAGGCAGCAGUGGGGAAUAUUGGACAGUGGGCGAAAGCCUGAUCCAGCCAUGCCGCGUGUGUGAAGAAGGUCUUCGGAUUGUAAAGCACUUUAAGUUGGGAGGAAGGGCAGUAAGUUAAUACCUUGCUGUUUUGACGUUACCAACAGAAUAAGCACCGGCUAACUUCGUG